CGGCGGACGGGUGAGUAACGCGUGGGUAACCUGCCUCAUACAGGGGGAUAAUAGUUGGAAACGGCUGCUAAUACCGCAUAAGCGCACAGUACCGCAUGGUACGGUGUGAAAAACUCCGGUGGUAUGAGAUGGACCCGCGUCUGAUUAGGUAGUUGGUGGGGUAACGGCCUACCAAGCCGACGAUCAGUAGCCGACCUGAGAGGGUGACCGGCCACAUUGGGACUGAGACACGGCCCAA
rnacentral:rRNA from 1 species